ACAUUAAGAGCAAUACAAUCACUUUAUAGUGCAGGUAGGCAAGCAGUGAUCAAAGGCUCUGUCUGUCCCACAAUGCUGCCCAAUUCCAGGGAUACUGCCAUGGUAAUGCAUUGAUAGGCCCUUUGAAUGAAUGAUUAAGUUGCUUUAAGGGAUUGCUAUGACAGAGGCUCUGUAGGAAAGGCUUUUAGAAUCAUUUGCUUGUGGCAAAAGGAAUGGCACCCCACCUUUGGUGGGGGCAAGUUUGCCCCACACCCCUCUCAUUGGAAGAGACUUGAAUUGAUCUCCCCUGAGGGGGUGGGCUAUAUGGGAACCACUGCUGCAGGAGUGCUCUCUCAGAGGAAGCCAUUCAACCCUGCUGUGUCACUUCCUCUCCUUCCUUUCACAUUGCAGCAUUGGUAAGAGUGGUUCACGUUCUCUCUCCAUGCUGUGGAGGCUAGCUCCUUAGGUACUCUGAGGCGCAGCUGGCUGGCUGAUGGUGAAGAGUAGGAGUGAGCACGAGUGUCUCACUUUGAAUAGGACUUCAUUAUGCUUCCUGCCUUCACAGCAGGUAACUGCCCUUUCAGUCAUCAGUUUGGUCAUCAGUAUUGCUUAUGGCAUUUGGGGCUUGCACAGAUGAGAGAUCCACUAGCUGACCACGUAGGACUGGACAUCAGGAUGUUUAUGUGCGAACAUCAGUCUAAACCCCAUGAAUGGCCAAGCAGACCCACCAUGUAGGCCUCACUAUCAGAACAUCUCCCCUUGCCCAUAUAGGUCCAUACCCUCCAAGAUUUCUCCAAUGAAAAUAGGGACGACCCAUUCCAUAAUGAUAAUUUUACUGUUUAUACCCCACACAUCUUAUUGGUUUGCCCCAGUCACUCUGGGCAACUUCCAACAUAUAUACAAACAUAAUAAAACAUUAAACAUUAAAAAGCUGUCCCUAUACAGGAUUGCCUUCAGGCAGCUCAGGAGUCAAGUAACUCCAUACCCUCCAACAUUUUGACAAUGGAAAUAGGGAUGUCCUAAGGAAAAGUGGCUCUCUCUCAAGAGUCACCUGCUAUGGGCUAUGUGGCAUUCCUUGUAUCAAAAAGCAGCUGCUGUCCACCAUUGUCUCACUAGAAGUUUGACUGUCUUUCAGCUGGAGACCUUUCGGUAUUAAUCAAGAUGUAAUGCAUCAGUAAGGUAAUGUAGUGUUAAUUAAUGCUCACUUGUAGAUGAUUAUCAUUACAUAUGUAAUAUCAAAAUUAGUGGCACUUGGAAAUAUUCAUCAUCAUGAAUACAUUAGACCUUUGAGAUAAAAGGACUUAGUUAUAAUGAAGUCAAUGUUGCAGGUCAUUUCCCACUACUCAGUAGAAUCUAUGUUGUAGUUAACCAUCUAAAGAAACACCUUAAAAAGUAAUUUAUGUGCAAAAUUGAGGUUAGUAGACUGGUAAGGUCUGUGUCAUGUGGAAUUUUCACAGGUGCAUUUGCUGCACCUUCAGUUUAUUUGAGAAUUCUCAGUGUUCCAGUGGAAAACACUGAAAUACACUAAUUCCUUUGAUAUUCAUUAAAAUAACAUUAAUCUUGAUGAACUCUGCUGGUGUUAAUGUUGAUUUAUUCUGAAACCUUCUAAUUAAAAUAAAUCAGAUUCUAUAAUUAGCUAGAGGGGAAAAUAGGCACUGACCUAGUUACUCUAUGCUACACUGUAUAGUGAGUUUAAACUUGGAAAUAUUUUGUGAGAUGAAUUUAAUAACAAGAAAUGGUUUUAAGGAUUGAUCUGUAGAGGAUAGGAGAUUUUGUGCACCUCUUUGGCUGGAAGUACUAAAAAAUCAUUUCAACAAUAUACUUAGAGAGAUGCAGCAGUGCUUUGCAGCAAAUACAUUUGUUUUACAGCAAAUAAACUAUUUUCCUAAUGAUUUGAGCCUAAUGAUUUGGAUUGACUUAAGAAAUUAGUAAAUGCAUUGGCUCUAGAGACACUGGAGUUUGCGAUUGCUGCAACAUACACACUGUAAUUCCCAGGGGCUGAGAAAUGUAUAUCCAGUUUUCAUAUUUCUCAUGCUCCAGAGGGGGCCCUCAGGAGCUAGGGUCUCAGUCUCAGGAGGCAUAAGCCUUUUACCAAAAUAUUCAUCAACAAUGACAGGGUUGCAAGUGCAGUGCAUUCCAGAGAAACCAAGAUCAAGCGUGGAGAAUCGGUCUAAGUCCAAAAUGUGACCCAGAAGCAGGGUCAGGCAACAGUCCAAGGUCAACAUCACAGGGAGUUCAGGCAAGGUGCAACACAACAAGGAAGGGAAACAAGAAUCAGGAUCAAGGAGCCAGAGACUUGUGUUCUUUUCAGCAAAUAGAAGGCUCAAGAGGGAGACCUUAUGUUCUCUGGUUCCCUAGAUCAUACCCUAACUGUAGCUGCUAGUAGUGAAGGAGUUUCAGGGAUUGCUUUCUUGGCCAGUAGAUGUUGUUGCUCUUUGGCCCAGACUUGGACCUUUUGACAUCAGCGUUCUUAAGAAAGUUGGGGAGGGAUGUUCUUCACCUCCUCUGAUAGCUCCAAGGGUUCUUUAGUGGGUCUCAACUUGAUGGGCCUCUCAAGAGGAUCCUCAGCAUUGGUUCCAGGGGACCCUGCCCGCCCUUCAGUGUCCUUGACAUGUGAGGUAGUCUCAUACUAGGUCAGGGUUAGGCAUUUUAUUAAAAUAUUUACAUACUGCUCUUCAUAAUUUACAAUAGCCAUACAUAAAAGCAUACAAUAAAAACCAUAUUAAAUGUGAAAAUCAGAAACCAACUAUUAUGUACAGAUGUUUUCUUAAUUGUUUGUCUGGUGGAAGAGAAAGCUUUCAGCAGCCAUUUAAAGGUUGAAACAAGGUGCCUGCUGAAUCUGUAUUGGCAGAGUAUUCCACAGGACUGGAAUAUGAAUUUUCUGCCAGAAAUGAGCAUAUAAUAUGAAGCAUCAUGUCUGUGCUGGUUGAAGGAAUGGUUGUUAUUGAAGAAUUCAGAAGUAUACGAUAAUAUUUUUGGUUGGCAUGCCUAUUUGUGGUAUGAAAAGGCAAAAGUACAUAAAGGUUUCACAAACCAUAUAAUUAGGAAAAAAUUGUGUAGAUUAUGGGAUAAAUAUAAAAACUUAUUGGAGACCAAAAUACCACUUUGGCUUUAACCUUUGGAAAUAGUGGUGAAAAAUAAAAAUAUGAUGGAGAGUUGGGCAACUUAUAGAAAUUUGCUAAGAGAGGAGGGUGGAGAAUUUAAAUUAAACGAGUUUAAGGAUUUAUCUGGGUUGUUAACAACAUGGUUACAAUAUGGCCUAGGACCCUCGUAUCUACGGGACCGCCUCUCCUGGUAUACCCCACGGAGGACCUUACGGUCUGCAAAUAAUAACAUCUUGGAGAUCCCUGGCCUCAGGGAGAUUAAGCUGGCCUUGACCUUUUUGGCCUUGGCCCCGGCCUGGUGGAACACUUGUUUAAGAGAAAAUUAAAUUAAAUGCUAUAUAGAUGGUACCUAACACCUAGUAGUUUGGCAAAAAUGUAUAAAUCAAAUUCGAAGGAGUGUUGGAAAUGUAAAGAGAAAGAAGAAACCUUUUUUUUUUAUGUGGUCUUGUAAUAAGGUUAAAGCUUACUGGGAAAUGAUAUAUAAUGAAUUGAAAAAAGAUGUUUAAGAUAACAUUUGUUUAAAAAACAACCCCAGAAGCUUUUCUCUUGGGAAUUAUGGGAUCAGAACUACCUAAACAGUAUAGAAAUUUAUUUAUGUACGCAACUACAGCUGCAAGAAUGUUGUAUGCCCAAAAAUGGAAGGAAGAAGAAGUCCCGAUGAGAGAAGAAUGGCUACUGAAAUUAAUGGAGUAUGCAGAAAUGGCAAAACUUACCGGAAGAAUAGGAACUCAAGAUAAAAAGUUAUUUAGAAAGGAAUGGAAAUGGUUUAUUUGUACAAGCAACGUGUAAACAGAUUAAGACAGUGGCAGGAUUACUAUAAAAACCUGCAGUUUAAAAAAAGGCAUAUGAGAUACAUAUGGCAAUAGAUGAAUAAAAAAUAAAUUAAGAUAAUUUGGAGUAUGCAGGAAAGGAUGAAAAUAAAUGUAAAGAACCACAGAAAGAGGGAGAAGGGAGUCAAAGUUUGAAAUUUUAGAGUUAUAUUUGAAUAAACAAACAAGGCCCAAUGGCAGCCUCACAUAGAGUACACUGCAGUAAUCCAGCAUCAAGAUUACAUGAAUCACAGUGGUUAGGCUAUCCUUGUCCAGGAAUGGCCAUAACUGGCAAACCACACAAAGCUGCUAAAAGGCACUUGUAGCCAAGGAUGCUUGGGCUUGGAGUGACAAAGUGCCCCCAAACUGUGCACGUGCUUCUUCAGAGGGAGUGCAACCCCAUUCAGAACAGGUUCAGUGACUAUUUUCAUAGGGCUCAGCUCAGUGUUCUUAAUUGGAUAUUUUCAUUGUGCCUCAAAGUUUGCUUUCUUCAUACCUGUUCUUCUCAGCAGCUGCUUGCUAUAAAAACUGCAUCAUUAUUGUCAUUUUCAUUUCCUUCCUGUUCUUUAAUUGGCAGGGAGUGGGAUGCCAUCACAUCUCAGAUCAUAUACCACCUGCUGUCCCAGCCACCCAUUCAAACUGAAGGCAAUCAGAUUUGUCUUCUGAAUUGGCUUUGUGACAAUUUUACAUCACAAGGCAGAUUUUCACCAAGGACAGGAAACAUUCCUCCCCGUCUCAGUUGGUAUUGGGAAAAGAGGACAAUGUGGCUAUGGAUAGCUACAGUGCUCCAUUAGUGGGCUUUCACCAGCAGCAAGGCUGGAUAGGUGAACGCUCUUCUUCUGUUCACAGGGCCCUCUCAAGAAUCACCAAAAUAAGUGCUCAUUAUUUAACUGAAAAUAGAUCUGCAAAGGGGAUAUGUGUGGUGUGUUUUAGGUCAGCGCUAGUUGGAACAAAAGUAGGAACAAAAACAACCGUAUACAUUUACCUUCAUUGUUAGAAGGCAACUACUGUUCUUUCACUGCACUGUCUGCCCUCUUUUCCAUACUGUAGAUACCGGUACCUAGAAAAAUCCAUGAACGUAACCAUUAUUUGCAUGAGUCAUUCAUUGUAGGGGAAUGGUGGAUGGAUCCUGUUAGAUAUUUGCUGCAAAAAGAUCUCUGAGAUGCUAAAAAGAAUUAUCCACGACUGAACCCUUUCAGGGGAAAAAACAGGUAUUCCCUCUCUGUGACAUGGUUUAAGAUUAAUAGAGACCUCUGGAUGGCUAGUGUUAGAACAUCUUAGUGCCAGUAAAAAAUAGUAAAAAAAGUGAGCUUUUCCAUGGUCACAGUCCAACACAGAGCUUAGCAUGUUUCAGCUCAUCAAUUUUAUUGAUUUUAAGUCCCUUAACUGUGGACUGAAUGUAUGUCCUGCAAGUAUUCCUACAGAUGUUUGCACCCUACAGAUGCAAAAUAUUUAUUUGGAGCUGCAAAUUCUCAAUUGCAAAUUCUGCCACUAUGAAUCUGUUCCCAACAUGUGACAGUGCCGGAUUUAGGGUGGUUCUUCUGCACAGCGAGCCAAGCCAAGGGGCUGCAAAAUUGCAAAGAUCCAUUGGGCGUACCAAAUUUUGGCCUUCCACAAGGUGCCAUAUUAUGAAAGAUUACCAAAGUCCGCUCUGCAUGUAUGAACUUUAAUAACAAAUAUCUCUUUUUAGCACAACUCUCUGCUACCUGAUUCCCAAUGAAAUAGAAUAUUCUCACUGUGGUCUUUUUCAAAUGACGAGUGGAGUAGAAAUCUGAUUGAGCAAAACGCAGAUGAAAUAUGGCAUAUACUAAAAGAAGCUUUUUCAGAGUUAGAAGAGCAGAAGCAUGGAAAGUUAACUAGACAUGCCCAUUGAUUAAUGAAGAAAUGAGUGUGUUGCAGAUACUGUAGUUCCUUGUUGAAUAAAUGUGUUCACUUACUACUUUUGAUAAAAAGCCCAGUAAAAACAUUUCAUUAUUAAGACUGACUAUUUCAAAUAAUCCCAUACUUUCAUGCAUAGAUGUAAAACAUUUGUGGGAGCUCCGGAAGACCUUUAUUCCAGAGUUCUUAAGACUUUAGUCCUGGGUUCUUAAAGAGAUGAAACCAGUAGGGUCUCUGUUCACAAUCUCUUUCCUUCACCUCUUGGGGCCUAUCUAUGUGCUAUAUUAAAUGCAUGUUUACUUUUAAAAAGAAGAAUCGGAGAAGGGAAUCAGUAUUCGGGCUGUAUUGUUUGUAGAGGAGAGUCAAAGUGCCAGGUUUAUGCAGACAAUUAGGAAAAUCAUUUUCUAUAAUAGCUGAUGGUCUGUAACUUUAGAUCUUUAGAUCUCUAUGUGGUCACCCACCUGCACACAUUUGUUGAAAACUGCUUUGAUACUGGUUUAUGAAAUUGUGGUACAUAUGAAAUGCCCACGUCGGCAUAAAAAUAGCUC
rnacentral:lncRNA from 1 species